GGGGCUUUAGCUCAGCUGGGAGAGCGCCUGCAUGGCAUGCAGGAGGUCAGCGGUUCGAUCCCGCUAAGCUCCACCA
rnacentral:tRNA from 210 species